rnacentral:rRNA from 1 species
AACGAACGCUGGCGGCAGGCCUAACACAUGCAAGUCGAGCGCUCUCUUCGGAGGGAGCGGCGGACGGGUGAGUAACGCGUGGGAAUAUGCCCUUCUCUGCGGAAUAGCCACUGGAAACGGUGAGUAAUACCGCAUACGCCCUUCGGGGGAAAGAUUUAUCGGAGAAGGAUCGGCCCGCGUUAGAUUAGUUAGUUGGUGGGGUAACGGCCUACCAAGACUACGAUCUAUAGCUGGUUUUAGAGGACGAUCAGCAACACUGGGACUGAGACACGGCCCAGACUCCUACGGGAGGCAGCAGUGGGGAAUCUUAGACAAUGGGCGAAAGCCUGAUCUAGCCAUGCCGCGUGAGUGAUGAAGGCCCUAGGGUUGUAAAGCACUUUCAGUCGCGAAGAAACUCUCAAGGUUAAUAACCUUGAGCAUUGACGUUAACGACAGAAGAAGCACCGGCUAACUCCG